rnacentral:rRNA from 1 species
GAUGAACGCUGGCGGCGUGCCUAAUACAUGCAAGUCGAGCGAACAGACGAGGAGCUUGCUCCUCUAACGUUAGCGGCGGACGGGUGAGUAACACGUGGAUAACCUACCUAUAAGACUGGGAUAACUUCGGGAAACCGGAGCUAAUACCGGAUAAUAUAUUGAACCGCAUGGUUCAAUAGUGAAAGACGGUUUUGCUGUCACUUAUAGAUGGAUCCGCGCCGCAUUAGCUAGUUGGUAAGGUAACAGCUUACCAAGGCAACGAUGCGUAGCCGACCUGAGAGGGGGAUCGGCCACACUGGAACUGAGACACGGUCCAGACUCCUACGGGAGGCAGCAGUAGGGAAUCUUCCGCAAUGGGCGAAAGCCUGACGGAGCAACGCCGCGUGAGUGAUGAAGGUCUUCGGAUCGUAAAACUCUGUUAUUAGGGAAGAACAAAUGUGUAAGUAACUAUGCACGUCUUGACGGUACCUAAUCAGAAAGCUCCGGCUAACUCCGUGCCAGCCGCCGCAGUAA